UACGUAGGGUGCAAGCGUUGUCCGGAAUUAUUGGGCGUAAAGAGCUCGUAGGCGGUUUGUUGCGUCGGCUGUGAAAUCCCGAGGCUCAACCUCGGGUCUGCAGUCGAUACGAGCAAACUAGAGUGUUGCAGGGGAGACUGGAAUUCCUGGUGUAGCGGUGAAAUGCGUAGAUAUCAUUUGGAACGCCAAUGGUGAAAACAGCUCGCUGGGAAUGAUCUGACACUGAGACGCGAAAGCCAGGGGAGCGAACGGG
rnacentral:rRNA from 1 species